rnacentral:rRNA from 1 species
GACGAACGCUGGCGGCGUGCUUAACACAUGCAAGUCGAACGGAAAGGCCUCUUUCGGGGGGUACUCGAGUGGCGAACGGGUGAGUAACACGUGAGUAACCUGCCCUUGACUUUGGGAUAACUUCAGGAAACUGGGGCUAAUACCGGAUAGGAGCUCCUGCUGCAUGGUGGGGGUUGGAAAGUUUCGGCGGGUGGGGAUGGACUCGCGGCUUAUCAGCUUGUUGGUGGGGUAGUGGCUUACCAAGGCUUUGACGGGUAGCCGGCCUGAGAGGGUGACCGGCCACAUUGGGACUGAGGUACGGCCCAGACUCCUACGGGGGGCAGCAGUGGGGAAUAUUGCACAAUGGGUGGAAGCCUGAUGCAGCAACGCCGUGUGCGGGAUGACGGCCUUCGGGUUGUAAACCGCUUUCGCUCAUGACGAAGCUUUGUGUGACGGUAGUGGGUAAAGAAGCACCGGCUAACUACGUG